rnacentral:misc_RNA from 1 species
AAUUAUUGUUAUAAAUCUCACGCUCACGACUUUACCUUACAAACUUCCAGCUGUCAAUUGGGCUUCUUAGCCCAAAAACAACUCAAGGCCCAGUUACUAUCUUAGCCGGCUUACCCUAAUUCUCUUCACCAAAACAUACAAACGCCGCCUGCAACUCAAAACUAAACUACCUCGCCGGCGGGAACAAAAAUCCGGCGAGUCUUUCACGGAAAAUUGCUGCCGGACAACCAGAUCAGCUCAGAUAUCAUCGGAAAACUACCAGACCACAGAUCUAAAAAGCUUUCUGUUGAAAAAUGCCCUCAUCGGAGAAAACAAAGAAAAAAAAACUGAAGUUUAU